rnacentral:rRNA from 1 species
UACGUAGGGGGCAAGCGUUGUCCGGAAUUAUUGGGCGUAAAGAGCUCGUAGGCGGUUUGUCGCGUCGACUGUGAAAACCCGAGGCUUAACCUCGGGCCUGCAGUCGAUACGGGCAGACUAGAGUUCGGUAGGGGAGACUGGAAUUCCUGGUGUAGCGGUGAAAUGCGCAGAUAUCAGGAGGAACACCGGUGGCGAAGGCGGGUCUCUGGGCCGAUACUGACGCUGAGGAGCGAAAGCGUGGGGAGCGAACAGG